rnacentral:rRNA from 1 species
UACGGAGGGUGCAAACGUUGCUCGGAAUUAUUGGGCGUAAAGGGCUCGUAGGCGGUUUGUCGCGUCGGGAGUGAAAACCAGGUGCUUAACACCUGGCUUGCUUUCGAUACGGGCAGACUAGAGGUAUGCAGGGGAGAACGGAAUUCCUGGUGUAGCGGUGAAAUGCGCAGAUAUCUGGAGGAAUACCGGUGGCGAAGGCGGCAUCCUGGACCGACAUUGACGCUGAGGAGCGAAAGCUAGGGGAGCAAACGGG